AUCAAGCUGACGAGUCCCAAAUAGGACAAAACACGCAUCCUUAAU
rnacentral:hammerhead_ribozyme from 1 species